UAGGGAAUAUUGCGCAAUGGAGGAAACUCUGACGCAGCGACGCCGCGUGGGUGAUGAAGGCCUUCGGGUUGUAAAGCCCUGUCGGAAGGGAAGAAAAACAUUAUGGCUAAUAUCCAUAGUGCUUGACGGUACCUUCAAAGGAAGCACCGGCUAACUACGUGCCAGCAGCCGCGGUAAUACGUAGGGUGCUAGCGUUGUUCGGAAUCAUUGGGCGUAAAGCGAGUGUAGGCUGUUUAUUAAGUCGGGUGUGAAAGCCCUGGGCUCAACCCAGGAAGUGCAUCCGAAACUAAUAAACUAGAAGACGGUAGAGGAAGGUGGAAUUCCAAGUGUAGAGGUGAAAUUCGUAGAUAUUUGGAGGAAUACCGGUGGCGAAGGCGGCCUUCUGGGCCGUUCUUGACGCUGAGACUCGAAAGCGUGGGUAGCAAACAGG
rnacentral:rRNA from 1 species